rnacentral:rRNA from 1 species
UAAUACGUAGGGACCAAGCGUUGUUCGGAUUUACUGGGCGUAAAGGGCGCGUAGGCGGCAAUUCAAGUCAUCUGUGAAAUCUCCGGGCUUAACUCGGAACGGUCAGAUGAUACUGCUUUGCUAGAGUGCGGAAGGGGCAAUCGGAAUUCUUGGUGUAGCGGUGAAAUGCGUAGAUAUCAAGAGGAACACCUGAGGUGAAGACGGGUUGCUGGGCCGACACUGACGCUGAAGCGCGAAAGCCAGGGGAGCAAACGGGAUUAGAUACCCCGGUAGUCCUGGCCCUAAACGAUGAAUACUUGGUGUCUGGAGUCUUUAAUGCUCCGGGUGCCGUCGCUAACGUUUUUAGUAUUCCGCCUGGGGAGUACGCUCGCAAGAGUG